UUGCAGCCAAUUAAGCCAACCAUGUUCAUUUCCCAUGGAGGCCCAACGUGCUGCAACAUGCAAUGGCUCCUCAGUAGUGUAUGUAGCCUGUUGCUUAUACCGGCUGUGCUAAGGAACUUGGAGAUAGCC
ensembl:snoRNA SNORA70 Small nucleolar RNA SNORA70